CUUACCAUGAACGGUCCCUUCCCUGAACCCAACUCAGUAUCUCCUCAAGGUAAUACUGUACUUUGUGUAUCUCUCAAGUCUUCAUCCAUGACCCAUCCAUCUUCCUAUACUUACCAAGCACUAAUACAAUCUCUACUGGCCAGGAAGUUUAUCAGAAGAUCUAACUGGGUCUUCUCCAAGUGUUUCCGGUUCCAACGAAGUAAGAAGUACGGUACCGAUCGGAUUUCCGAGACCCCAAAGCACCCAGGGAGGGGGAGUAUGGAAUUUAUUCAUGGGAACGUGCAAUACUCGUGGAUGGAGCAUGACAUAUCUCCAAGAUCCAUAGAUCAGAAUUGGGCCAAAUUGUCGUGCAGAUUAUCGAUAGGGCCCUCCUAACCAGGGAGUCAACAAUGCUAUUAAUCUCCCUUGGAAUAAGUUACAAGCAUCAAAAUAUGAUGAUAAAUGCAAGAUAUCCUCCACAAUAGAGCUAAUCUCCAGAGGGGAUGGUGUUUUCCAUUGAUGCUAAGAUAUGACAUCCUUGUUAUCUAAAUCCACUAUCAACAUGUCAAACCAUUAUUAUAUGGCCUCAAGAAAAGUAGAUUGAAUGGCAAUCCCUUCCCAAAAAUUAGAUUUAUUGAUAGUUGAAAAAGAAGAUGAUGCAAAUUUGUAAUGACCAAGAUGAUCUCGAACAACGAAACCAACACCACCACUAGAUGUGUUAGGAAUCAAUCUUGCAUAACAGUUGAUCGAUCUUGGAAAAAAUACUCAGGUGGAGGAUUCCAAUAAUGUAUAUUUAAUGUGGAAUAUUGAGUAACAAGUGGAGUUUGGAAGUGUGAA